UGCAUCACAGGUAUAUUCCAAGCCCAUGGACUAGCCUUGGGGGUUAGGUGUCUGUUCCAGGGUCAGUCGGCCACAGCCUGGGUUGUGGGCAGGCCCCAGGAUAGUGCAUGGCUGCUUAGACAGGGAGGGCUAUAUGUGCAGGCUGGCACUGCCCACAGGCCCAGGAGAGAGAGGGGAGAUGGCUGCUAUACCAGACAUAGUGGCAGGAAGGAGGGAAUUAGCUACCUGCUUGCAAAUGAGAGGUCAGGGAAGGGUUUGGAAUAAACAGAUACAGCCACUGGGUUUUAGAACAUGACUAGUAGGAUUUGUUGUGUACGGUACCUCUGUGCAGGAGAAUCUGUCCAUCAGAUACCUAGAUUCCUAUCCUGGCCCUAUGGCUUAUCUGCUGUGUGGCCUUGGCUUUCCCUCCACCUCUCUGAAGCUGCUCUUUCUUCAUUUGGAAAAUGGACCUCAUGAUAGGAUCUGUUGUACGGAAUUGCCACGAUGACACAUGUGAACUCAUUAGUGGGGUGCCGGACCUAGAGGAUGUGAUCAAUAAAUGGCAAUGUAACUGUAUUCAUGCCGUUAAUAUUUCUGACAUCCCAGACAGUGGAAGUGGCCUGUCUGAUGGUCAGAGAAGACACAGGGCAGCCAGUUUGCGGAGCUGCCGGUGGCUUUCUGUGGCUGGAGCACCCAGUGCAAGGGAAGACGUGCUAGUAAACGGGCCCUGUCAGAUGCAAAGCCUUAUGUGCUGUGUAAGAUGUUUCAGAUUUCACACUAGGUUAUGAGAUGCUAUUAAAGGAUGUUAUGGAGGGAGGGAGAGAUCAGAUUUGCAUUUUAAAAAUCUCCCUCUGGCAGCAGGGCAUUCAGCGGGAUAGAGGGAGAAGGGACUGGAGUGGGCAGAUGGAUAAGGAGGCUUUUGCACUAAUCCAAGCAAAGGAUCAGAGAACCCACACAAGGAGGAGGAGAAGCAGAUCUGAAAGACAUUUAGGAAGAAGAAUUGGCAGGCCUCACAGCCUCUCUUGCUCCAAAAGGAUGGAAGCUGGCCCCAGUGAACACUGCCUAGCCAUACUUGGAAAACUGUCCUAGACAUCUGGAUGGCAUUGUGUCUUCCAGGAAGGGCCAAGGGGGACCAGGAGCUCGCAGAUGCUAAUGCAGGAAUCAAGCUGCUCCCCAGGGACCUGCUAUCAGAAAACUCAAAAAGGACUUUCUACUAUCAGGAGUUAUUGAAAUAGCUUCAGCUGGCAGUGUGCAAGGGCAGUAUCAGAUGACAAUAAAGGACGUUCAAUCAAUCUAUCCUUCUUGUGACAAGGUUUUUUAGGAAAUUCAAAGUAUUUUUGUCUACUAUGGGGCAAACUGCCUCUGUAAGGUGAAAUCGCAUCAUACGAUGAAGAACAAAUAUGUAUGUGCU